UCCGCUUUCCGCUCUGUAAUGGGAUGGGAUCCGAAGCUGUCCGAGGGAUAAUACAGGCUCUCCCAUCCAACUCCUAUUCCGACACGUCCUCGUCGUGCAGAGUGGUAACAUGUGCCUCCAUAUAUCCUAGCUUGGGUACACGGGCUAGAUCCAACCCCUUGGGCGGAUGGUGGCAUAUGGCGAACCAGGAGGGG
rfam:Anopheles arabiensis strain DONG5_A unplaced genomic scaffold supercont1.38, whole genome shotgun sequence.